GUUCACUUCAGCAGCACAGACACCAAAACUGGAACAUACAGAGAAGGUUAGCCUUGCCUCUGUGCAAGUGUUACACAUGAAUUCACAAAGUGGCUCUCUGUUUUU